GACAGAGGAUGCAAGCGUUAUCCGGAAUGAUUGGGCGUAAAGCGUCUGUAGGUGGCUUUUCAAGUCCGCCGUCAAAUCCCAGGGCUCAACCCUGGACAGGCGGUGGAAACUACACGGCUAGAGUGCGUUCGGGGCAGAGGGAAUUCCUGGUGUAGCGGUGAAAUGCGUAGAGAUCAGGAAGAACACCGGUGGCGAAGGCGCUCUGCUAGGCCGCAACUGACACUGAGGGACGAAAGCUAGGGGAGCGAAUGGG
rnacentral:rRNA from 1 species